UGUAGCUCAGUGGUAGAGCACUUGCCUCACAUAUGCAAGGCCCUGGGUUCCAUCCCCAGUACUACAA
rnacentral:tRNA from 1 species